GAUGAACGCUGGCGGCGUGCUUAACACAUGCAAGUCGAACGGUGAAGGCGGAGCUUGCUCUGCUGGAUCAGUGGCGAACGGGUGAGUAACACGUGAGCAAUCUGCCCCUGACUCUGGGAUAAGCGCUGGAAACGGCGUCUAAUACUGGAUACUAGCUGCGAAGGCAUCUUCAGCAGCUGGAAAGAACUUCGGUCAGGGAUGAGCUCGCGGCCUAUCAGCUUGUUGGUGAGGUAACGGCUCACCAAGGCGUCGACGGGUAGCCGGCCUGAGAGGGUGACCGGCCACACUGGGACUGAGACACGGCCCAGACUCCUAAGGGAGGAAGCAGUGGGGAAUAUUGCAAAAUGGGCGAAAGCCUGAUGCAGCAACGCCGCGUGAGGGACGACGGCCUUCGGGUUGUAAACCUCUUUUAGCAGGGAAGAAGCGAAAGUGACGGUACCUGCAGAAAAAGCGCCGGCUAACUACGUG
rnacentral:rRNA from 1 species